rnacentral:rRNA from 1 species
GAGCGCCGUAGCAAUACGGGAGUGGCAGACGGGUGAGUAACGCGUGGGAACAUACCCUUCGGUUCGGAAUAACUCAGGGAAACUUGAGCUAAUACCGGAUACGGCUGAGAGGCGAAAGAUUUAUCGCCGGAGGAUUGGCCCGCGUUCGAUUAGCUAGUUGGUGAGGUAACGGCUCACCAAGGCGACGAUCGAUAGCUGGUCUGAGAGGAUGAUCAGCCACAUUGGGACUGAGACACGGCCCAAACUCCUACGGGAGGCAGCAGUGGGGAAUAUUGGACAAUGGGCGCAAGCCUGAUCCAGCCAUGCCGCGUGAGUGAUGACGGCCUUAGGGUUGUAAAGCUCUUUCGCUCGGGACGAUAAUGACGGUACCGAGAUAAGAAGCCCCGGCUAACUUCGUG